GAAUAAAGUAUAUUUUUGAAAUAAAAAAAAAAUUUCGCCUUUUAUUAAAGAUUUCCGUGGAGAGGAACACUCAGAGUUUGAAUCAAUUUUUUGUGGCCCUGCUUUUGUAGGGC